rfam:Lachnospiraceae bacterium 3-2 genomic scaffold acPFJ-supercont1.1, whole genome shotgun sequence.
UUCAUUGUGAGGUUGAAUCUGAAGAAAGCUGGAGGCAAAGCUCUGGUCUGACGAACAGAAAAAUGUGGCGGAUGGAUGGAGUGAAAGAUUGCGUU